UCGAGAAUCUUUCACAAUGGGGGCAACCCUGAUGGAGCGACGCCGCGUGGAGGAUAAGGUCUUCGGAUUGUAAACUCCUGUCAUGCGAGAGCAAGACUUGCCGGGUAACUCCUGCAAGUUUGAUAGUAUCGCAAGAGGAAGAGACGGCUAACUCUGUGCCAGCAGCCGCGGUAAUACAGAGGUCUCAAGCGUUGUUCGGAAUCACUGGGCGUAAAGGGUGCGUAGGUGGCGUGGAAAGUCAGAUGUGAAAUCCGGAGGCUCAACCUCCGAAUUGCAUCCGAUACUCCCAUGCUAGAGAACUGGAGGGGAGUCUGGAAUUCUCGGUGUAGCAGUGAAAUGCGUAGAUAUCGAGAGGAACACUAGUGGCGAAGGCGAGACUCUGGACAGUUUCUGACACUGAUGCACGAAGGUCAGGGGAGCAAACGGGAUUAGAUACCCAGGUAGUCCCUGAGCGGGCUGGCAAGGCGCAU
rnacentral:rRNA from 1 species